rnacentral:rRNA from 1 species
UACGGGGGGGGCAAGCGUUGUUCGGAAUUAUUGGGCGUAAAGAGCUCGUAGGCGGUUUGUCGCGUCGAAUGUGAAAACCCGGGGCUCAACCCCGGGCCUGCAUUCGAUACGGGCAGACUAGAGUUCGGUAGGGGAGUCUGGAAUUCCCAGUGUAGCGGUGAAAUGCGUAGAUAUUGGGAGGAACACCAGUGGCGAAGGCGGCUCACUGGGUAGAUACUGACGCUGAGGCGCGAAAGCGUGGGGAGCAAACAGG